rnacentral:lncRNA from 1 species
AUAAUACCAAAGAGUCUAACACUUGCAUCACUGGAGCCUAAGAGGGAGGAGAAAGUAGAGCAGAAAAUAUCUGAAUGGUUUAAAACUUUACAUAAUCUGAUGAAAGGCAUAAACUUACACAUUUAAGCUCAACAAAUCCCAAAGAGAAUAAAUUCAAACACCCGGGCACAUCAUAAUCAAACCAAUAAAAACCAAAGACAAAGAUUCCUGAAAAUACUCAGAGAAAAAUAACAUGUUUCAUACAGGGGAAAUAUUACUUUAAUGGCUGCACAUUUCUCAUCAGAAACCAUGGAGGCUGAAAGAACUGUCAACACAGUAGUUUAUAUCCAGCAAAAAUAUCUUUCAUGAAUUAAGGCAAAAUAAAGACAUUCUCAGAUGAAGAAAAAAUAAGAGAAUUAAAUGUCAACAGACCUGCACUAAAAGAAAUUUUCCAGAUGAAAAGGACUGAUACCUAUGUAAACUUGGAACAUCAAGAAUUAAGGAAGAUUAAUACAAAUGAUAAAUAUUGUGGUAAAUGUGAUAGACUGUUUUCCUCUUGGGUUCUUAAAAAUAUCUAUGAUAGUUGUAAGGAAAAAAUACAUUAUCUGAUGAGUCUUAUUUUUUAUUUUUAUUUUUUGAGACACAGUGUCUAGCUCUGUCACUCAGGCUGGAGUGGAGUGGAGUGAUCUUGGCUCACUGCAACCUCUGCCUCCUGGGCUCAAGUAAUCCUCCCACUUCAGCCUCCUGAGUAGCUGGGACUACAGGAACAUGCUACCACGCCUAGCUAAUUUUGUGUAUUUUUUGUAGAGUUGGGGUUUCACCACAUUGUCCAGGCUGGUCUCGAACUCCUGGACUUAAGCAAUCUGCUCGCCUCGGCCUCCCAGUCCUGGGAUUACAGGUGAGCCACUGUGCCCAGCCAAGUCUUAUGAUUUAUAAGAAAAUUAUAACAUAAAGGGGAGAGGGUAAAGGAAUGUAAACAGUGGUAAGAUUUUUCUACAUUCCACUUGAACUGGUAAAAUAUUGACUUCUAAGUGAACUGUAAAAAGUGAAGUAUGUUUAUAGUAAUCCCUAGAGCAAAUACUGCAAAACUAUUCAAAGAACUAUAAUUUUAAAAAACAAUAAAUUACAAUCAGUAACAGAAAGAUAACUGAAAAAAACUCUAAAUAUUUGAAAAUUAUAGUAAUACCAAGAAAAAUCAGAAUAUUCUAAAUUGAACACAAAAUUACAACACAAUAAAAUUUGUGAGAUAAAGCAAAUGGGAAAUUUAUAGCAUUAAAUGCUUUUUUUAGAAAAGCACAAAAAGCCUUCUGAUCAGUGUUGAAUUAAAUAAAUAAAUAAAUAAAUAAGUAAAUUUUAAAAUCAAUGAUCUGAGCUUCCGCCACAAUAAGCUAGAAAAGGGAGCAAAUAAGCCCAAAGCAAAGAAAGGAGAAAAUACUAAAGAUCAGAAAUUAAUGAAACUUAAAACAGAAAAACAGCAAAAUAUCAAUAAACCAGAGCAGGUUCUUACAAAAGAGAAAUGCAGCCGGGCACGGUGGCUCAUGCCUGUAAAGGCGGGUGGAUCACCGGAGCUCAGGAGUUCGAGACCAGCUUGGCCAACAUGGUGAAACUCCAUCUCUACUAAAAAUACAAAAAGAAGCUGGGUGUAGUGGCGUGCGCCUGUAAUUCCAGCUACUCAGGAGGCUAAGGCAGGAGAAUCGCUUGAACUCGGGAGGCAGAGGUUGCAAGGUUGCAUUGAGCCAAGAUCACACCACUGCCCUCCAGCCUGGGCGACAGAGCGAGACUGUAAUCCCAACACUUUGGGAGGCUGAGUCAGGAGUUGAAGACCAGCCUGGCCAACAUGGUAAAAACCUAUCUCUACUAAAAAUUCAAAAAUUAGCCGGGCAUGGUGAUGCACACCUGUAUACCCAGGUACUUGGGAGGCUGGUGAGGGAAGCUUGAACCCAAGAGGCAGAGGGUGCAGUGAGCCAAGAUCGCACCAUUGCACUCCAGCCUGGGUGACAGAGUGAGACUCCGUGUCAAAAAAAAAAGAAAAGAAAAGCUAUCAGUAUGUUUCACCAUAUGAACAUUCUAAAGGGGAGAAAAAAGGUCCUAUCAAUUAUGCAGAAAAAGCAUCUGACAAAAUUCAACAUCUGUUCCUGACAGAAAACUUCCAACAAGCAGAAAUAAAAGAGUCUACCCUCAAUCUACUAAAGGGUAUUUUUUCAAGCCCACAACAACAACAAAGUUAUUUAAUGCUUAAUGACUGAAUGUUUCCCCCCUACAACUGGAUCAAGGCAAAAAGUCCCAACCAGUGCAAUAAGGCAAAGAAAAAAAUAUAGAAAUUAUCAAUAAAAGAACAAAACAGAUUCCUUAAUAAUGCAAAAGGCAAAUACUUGACUGGGGUAAAAAGAAUUAUUCUAUUCCAGACUCUGUUAUAUGUCUCAUACUUUUAAUCCUGGAGAGUCUGCUUUGUAUGUUAGGAUAGUUAUUAGUAUAGUUGUAAUCUUUGAGUAGUAAGUACUACUAAUAUUCAAACUAUAAUAAAUGGGUUAAGGCAGCACAAAAGAAUAAUUUAAAAAAAUAGUUCCCUAGAAAAUAGAUCCUGAGAAUAAAAAUAUAUAAACAUAUAUACAUGUACUUCCAAAUGUAAAAAUGAAGCUUGUCAUGUAGUAAAAGAAAAAACCCAGCUGCACAGAAAAAACUUUAAUUAACUUAAAUAAGAGAUUUGUUAACAACAAUAUGCCUUAAAGGCUAGAAAGACAGAAAAUACUAGGGAAAAAAUGCUUUUAACUAGCAAGAAUAUAAGGCAUCAAACCAAACUAGAAGGUAAAGUGGAAAUAAUUAAGAAUGAGUUUCAAAGAAUGACGGACAAAAUGUUUUAGAGAAGAACACAAUUUGGCAGAAUGACUACCUGUAUCUAGAGCAUAUUUUGAAAGUGGAAUCAAACAAAUUCAAUACUUUUUUCACACAGGGUGUUUCUUGCUCUGCCUCCCAGGCUGGAGUGCAGUGGCAAGAUCAUCACUCACUGCAGCCUCGAACUCCUGGGCUCAAGUGAUCCUUUAGCCUCAGCUGCCUAGUAGCUGGAAGCACCACACCCAGCUAAUUUUACUUUUUGUAGAGACGCGGUCUCAUCAUGUUGCCCAGGCUGGUCUCAAACUCCUGGCUUCAAACAACUCUCCUGCCUUGGCCUCCCAAAGUGUUGGGAUUACAGGUGUAAGCCACCAUGCCUGGCCAAUUAAUACUUUAUAUAAAAGUAAGUAAAGAGCUUAAUUUUUCUAAAUUUAAGACAAACAUGCAGAUUGAAAGGCAAGCCAAAAUUAAAUAUUGCCAAGUCAUUUUAAUGAUCAGAAUUAGAGAAUCAAGUGCAAUUACUAGAGUUAAAGAAGUCAAAUACUUUUCAAUUUGAAAUCUUAUCUGAGGGAGAACACUAUCUGAUUACUUUUAGGAAGCAACUCAGAGGUCAUACUGACCUUUUUUUUUUUUUUCUUAAGUAUUUCUGAAAUUUAAAGAAAUAAGAAUAGACUGGCUAAAUUUUCAGGUCAUUUGCAAUUUUAAAUUUUCUCAUCAUAAACUGCUUCAAGCUGUUUGAUCACUUCCACUGAUUACUACACAAGAAAUAAUUUGCACAAUUUCCCUUACUUUUAUAUCAUUUACAUUUAAAUACAGCCAAAAAAUACCCAUGAAAAUCUAAGAAAUGUUCAUUUCUAAAACUAACAAACAAAAUCAAACUACAAGUAUUAAAGUGCCCACAAAAACAUUUUGGAAUACCAUGGAGUUGAGGCAGGGAGUAACAACUCUCAAACUACUUUUAUUUAAUCUUACUCAUAUUUAAGAAUAAGUUAUCUUCAACAGACCUAAUCUAAUUGUGGAAUCAUUUCAAGGUAUUUUGAAUAAUCAUAUCAUUUAUAGAUAUCAGAGCAGAACAAAUUUUGGAUUAAGUAAAGAACUAUAAUUAUACUCUUAGGACAUCUGCUGAUGACAGAGGUUUCUCUGACACCAGUGACAAAGUAAUAUUUUCUGGGACCAUUACAACAUGCCUAGACAAAUUAAAUUUUUUAGCUUUAUAACAAGAAAGCUCAUAGAGUACAAUUUUUUGAAAAAUUGGUUAAAUAGGUUAUGUCACAGAGGAAACCUAAUUUGCCUCUCUGCCACGGAAAUUUUUAAAUAAGCCAAUAAUUUAACAUUAUGAGAUCUGAAGUAAUUACUUUUCUAUACGGCAAGCUCCAGCCCAGCCACCAGUACCUCCUUUACCAUAUCCAAUGAAUAUUUUAACAUGACUUUCCUGUAAUGGUCUUCAGCUUUAAAUGGAUAGACUCUGACAUCGAUAAUUCCUUAAAGACGUGCUUAUUCCACAAGCUGUUCUUGCUUUUUCUGAGGACAUAUAUAUGUAUACAAGCAUUUUUAGAUAUUAAUCAUUUUUAAGCUUUUUUACUUAAAAUCAAAAGUUUCCUUACAGUAUGUUUCAAAGAUAAAAUCACAUUACAUUAUUGGGGAAACUACUAGUUAAGACUCUAAAACGCACACAAGGCUGAGUGCAGUGGCUCAUGCCUGUAAUCCCAGCACUUUGGGAGGCCAAGGCGGGCAGAUCACCUAAGGCCAGGAAUUUGAGACCAGCCUGGCCAACAUGCUGAGACCCCAUCUGUACUAAAAAAUACAAAAAAAAAAACAGCCAGGCGUGGUGGCGCACGCCUCUAGUCACAGCUACUCAGGAGGCUGAGGCAUAAGAAUCACUUGAACCCAGGAGGCAGAGGUUGCAGUGAGCUGAGACAGUGCCACUGCACUCCAGCCUGGGCGACCGAGCAAGACUCUGUCUCCUAAAUAAAUAAAUAAAAUGCAUACAAAAUAGUUGCAGUAGUACCUGCAGAUAGAUACAGGGAUUAAAGGAAAAGGAAUCCUUAGGAAAAUUCUUUAUCCUAUCUAGAGUACCUCUUAAGCUCCCUCUGCUGGUUACCAUUUAAAUAAAGUAGGAAAAAAUGUUGACCUUUUUUCUUUGAGGAGGUGAUGGGAGAUGCAGGAUGAAGUCUGAAAUUGAUAAUGUUACGGCUAAAAUUGAAAGGGAGAUUCUCUUAAAAGGGGGCUAAAUCUAACUGAUGACUAUCUUCUGUAAGAAGGCUUUAAAAGGAUUUCUAAACAGAUUGGGGGAAGAGCGACUGAAAAUAAGGGGAGUGAUUACCAAGUUUGAAUAUGUUAAUCAUUAAAUUGAUAUGCCAAAAUGCAAAAGCAUUUAAUAUAAAUCAACUAUAAACGAUUAUGACUUAACACUAGAAAAAUUAAGAAUUUAAAUAUAUUUCACAAACUUCACCAGAACAAAAAACUUUUAUCACACUAUUUAAUCUACUUAGUUUCAAUAUUAAGGUUUAUUUUUUCUUCCAGAUUGAAAGUAACAAUUUAAAUAAUUAUCAGGAUAUAGAAACAAAUAUCCAUUCAGAUAAAACAUUACUGCUUAAAAGUGGCUAAGAAAUAUUUUGCAUGUAAUAAAUAUAUUUCAUGUUUAGGUUAACAGGCACCAUCUUGAGAGCAGUUUGUUUUUUUUUUUUAGCUAAUAAAUAAAUUACAUUCAAGAAAACAAGGUGUUUAUAUCUGAGUAUAUCAUUAAAUGUUUUUCUUCAUAUAGCACCCAAACUUCAAACUGUCUAGAAAGUAUCUCCUAAAAUAUAACUCAUACCUUAAGUAAUAAAAAUAAAGGCCAAGAAAAAAAAUCAAUUUAAGACAAAAUUUACAGUUUAUAUUCUUAAUUCCCCAUUCAAUAAAAUAUCGAUUGCCAAUUUAAUAAAAGUAAAUGAACUGUAUAUAUGCAAUCUGUUAGCACUGAAAAUCUGAAAUAUAUAUUUUUAAAAAUCACUCUUUCUGACAGUAUUUAAAAUAUUGCAUCUCUGGUGGCAAACCUGAAAACAAUCAAGCAUCUUAUUACCCUAGUUUUCAUACCUACCCCAUACCCCAUCACUUUUUAUCCUUUAACAUCCAUCCAGCAUUUUUGUUGGUUUUUUUUUGUUGUUGGCAAAUACACUUACUUAUAUCCCAAACACAAAACACUGACAAUACUCCUUGGUAAACAAGGAAAUCCCAGAACAGUCCAAGCCUACACAGCUUUGCUCCCGAAGUGUGGCACAGGCUAAACGACAGGCGAGAAAGAAACAAUCGAUGGCCCUUAUUGAUGCAGUCAGAAUGCUCCUGAGAGUCCAUAACUGUUUGAGAAUUUGCUGAUGUUAUCCUGACAGAAGUUUCAGCAGAUUUUGCAAACAAGUAUCAGAGAAUAAGUCUUUGAUUGAUAAUUUUUCUAUUUAUUUCUGCCAAGGCGACUGAAAACACGAAAGCCUUUUCAUCAGACAGGUUAGCAUAGAUGUCAAUUUCCUUUUCCUGUUUCUCUGUU